rnacentral:misc_RNA from 1 species
CUCCUUCCCUAUCACUAGUUUGGCGUUUACUGAACUUACAAUGCAUGUAUUCCGUCUUCGUUUUACUUAACUCAAAGCCCUUUAACUUUAGUGUAUUAAAUCUGUUGCUAUGGCUAUACCAGUGUAUGUGAUGGCUUGUUUUAAGUUUCCCAUUCUCUUUGCCAACAAAUUAAUUGGAUGAUUUCUAAUUUUUAGUGGAUCAAACCAAAUAUGAAAGGUGUCAGCAUUAGAUCUCUUAGCGAAGUUUAUGCAUUGGUAAAUCUCAAGGAGGGUUGGGUUUUAAGGAUCUUGAAUGUUUUAACCAAGUGAUGUUGACAAAGCAAGGAUAGAGGCUCCUUACCAACCCGAAUGCUCUUCUCACAAGAGUACUCAAAGGAAAAUACUUUCAUGCUUCCUCCCUUUUGGAUGCUCAAACAAGUGGUAGGCCUUUAUGGGGAUGGAGGAGUAACUGCUUAUGCAAGGUCUUCGAUGGCAAGUUCAGGAUGGGAAUUCUAUUCUUUGCAAAGAGGGCAAGUGGAUACCCAAAUCUUUUCCUAAUUAGUCAAAAGUAAAAGAGAAUGCCAAUCCUUUUAUCAAUUGAGUAUCCCAACCCUUUGACAAGGUUAAUUGUAAAUGGGACACUGCAAAGCUUAAGUCUUCCAGGAAUUAGAGAUUGAUAAUAUCAUGGCUAUUCCUACCAGUAUGAUUGAUAGAGAAGAUUGACUGUGUUGGCAUUUCGCUCAAACUGGAUUAUAUUAAAUUCAAUCCGGGUAUCACCUAGCUCAUCACACAAAAAUGAUGAAUUCUUUUGCAGGUUUAGCUGGCCCAGGUCCAAAUGCUCAAGCCAAUUUAAGUACCUUUUGGAGGAACAUUUGGAAGAUUCCCUUUACAACCAAAGUUAAGUGUUUUCCUUUGGAGAUUUCUUAAAGAAAAAUUCCUACUUGAGCCUUGUUGAAUUCCAAAUUUCAUGACAUCCCAUUAGAUUGCCCUUUUUGCAAUCAUAUAGAGACAACACACCACCUUUUCUUUGCCUACCUAAAAUCCAUCAAAGUUUGAUCGAUUGUUGGGUGGAGAAUUGUUCUAAUUUUCGGCAUCAAGCCCAAAUGCAUAAUCUUUGUUCUCUAUUUGUGUUUAUCUUUAUGGCAAGUGUGGAAGAAUAGAAACUGGCAAAUCUUUAACGAUAAUGUGUUGCCUUUCCACCAAGUCCUUUCAGCCGCAAAUUCUCACUUUGAAGACUUUCGCUCGUCCUCGACAAUACAACUCAAUUUUAGAGGAAGUUUAACCCUGGUUGCGCUAAGCUCAAUUUUGAUAUGCAGCCACCAAUUCGAAAAAGAAUAUGGGGUCAGUUGUGAUGAUAGCUUGGGAUCAUCUUGGUAAUCUUAUUGGUUGGUCUUGCAAGCGUGUAAUUGGCAUAUUAGAUCCUCUCAUCCUAGAAGGAAUGGCCUGUAGAUAGCCAUUAUUCUUGCUCAGCACAAAGGAUUUCAAAGCAUCAUUUUAGAAGGAGACUCUCAAAUUGUGAUCGGCAGUCUUAAUGGUGUCACUGUUCCACAAGACAUUCAGAGUAUUAUUCAGGACAUUUCUCAUUUUACCCAUAUUUUCGCUAUAUCUCUUUUUCAAAUUGUUAAGAGAGAUAGGAACAGGGUAGCUCACUUGUUAGCUUCUAAAGCUAUGAUGGAUUAGUCUUUCAUUAUUAAUCUUCUAUCUCAGCAUGACUUUGUAUUAUCUGCCUUACAUUAAGGCUUCUUUGAUAUAUCCACCUUUCAGAAAAAAAAAAAUAAUGGCACUAAAUUGAUAAACUAUUUUCAAAGAGUUAAAUUAUGCAUUAAAAAUAGGGGUGUUUGUUUUCAGGUUUGGUGUGGUUUUGCUUAAGAAUCGAAACUAUAAUCAAAUCUUUGGUUCUUUAAUUUUUAGGAACCCAAAUCAAAGUUCAAUUUUGAUUCAAUUCUAACUGAUUUUGAUUUGGUUUUGGUUCUAAUUUUGAGUGAAGAAAGAGAAUCCAUAUAGCUGAUUCUAAAUUUUUAGGAUAAAAACUUAGUUAAGUUGAGUUGAGUUGUGUUUUGAUUUUACAUUUAGUUCCAAUUUUAGUUCGAGUCUCAAUUGUUACACUUAAAACUACAACAUUCUUAUAUUUAUUUUAAAAUAAUUAAAAAAAUCUUAAAAUUUUAAUAUUAAAACAAUAAUAAAAAUAAUAACACUAAUAUCAAAUAUAUAUAUAUAAAUUUAUACUUUUAUAUAAUUUAUG